rnacentral:pre_miRNA from 1 species
AUCCCCUUGAGAUCUUGUUAAAAAGCAGGUUUUGGUUCAGUGGUCCUGAAGUGGGGCCCAAGAUUCUGCAUUUCUAACAAGCUGCCAGGUGAAUCAAA